GGUUGAUCCUGCCAGUAGUCAUAUGCUUGUCUCAAAGAUUAAGCCAUGCAUGUGUAAGUAUAAGUAUUAUACGGCGAAACUGCGAAUGGCUCAUUACAUCAGUUAUAAUUUACUUGAUAAUCGAAAGUUACAUGGAUAACCGUGACAAAUUACAGCUAAUACAUGCAGUCAGACCUGGUCCAAGGGUCGUAAUUAUUAGUACCAAACCAUUUCCGAAAGGAGUGUGAUGAUUCAUAGUAAUCGAACGAAUCGCAGGUAUAUGCGAUAAGUCAUUCAAGUUUCUGCCCUAUCA
rnacentral:rRNA from 1 species